rnacentral:rRNA from 1 species
UACCUGCAGCUCGAGUGGUGAUCGUUAUUAUUGGGCCUAAAACGUCCGUAGCCGGUCUUGUAAAUGCCUGGGUAAAUCGUAUGGCUUAACCAUACGAAUUCCGGGUAGACUGUUAGACUUGAGACCGGGAGAAGCUAGAGGUACUCCUGGGGUGGAGGUGAAAUUCUGUAAUCCUAGGGGGACCACCAGUGGCGAAGGCGUCUAUCUAGAACGGGUCUGACGGUGAGGGACGAAGCCCUGGGGCGCAAACGGGAUUAGAUACCCCGGUAGUCCAGGGUGUAAACGCUGCUUGCUUGAUGUUAGUCUGGCUCCGAGCCAGAUUAGUGUCGGAGAGAAGUUGUUAAGCAAGCUGCCUGGGAAGUACGGCCGCAAGACUGAAACUUAAAGGAAUAGGCGGGGAGCACAGCAACGGGUGGAGCGUGCGGUUU